GGCGGCGGCGGCGGCGGCGUGACACAGAGACACGGCUGGAAAAAACAAAUCCAGAUGCAGCGAGGAGGAAAAAAAGAGGAAAAAGCAGCUGAAUGAUGAUGAAUGAAAAAUCAGAGAGUAGCAGAAGAGAUGUGUUGACAGCAGCUGCUGCAGCGGCGGGAACAUGGAGACUUUACCUGCAGGCCGCGGGAAGAAGCCUGACACAACAACAACAACGAACGUCUUCAGAGUAAAAACCCAAACUAGAAAAAAGUUUCAAAUGUUGAAUUGUAGUUUAAUUUUGAUACUUGACAAAACAGAAGUUUAAUCAAUAAUCAAUACAAGAACCAAUUAUUACUUCAAACGUCAAAAUGCGAUAAAACAGUGAAGAUUCAACAGGUUGUUUGUGUAAACAAACAUUAAAUUAUUUACAGCUGUAAAAAUUCAUAAAACAUCUGCAGAUGUGAUAAAUAAUGUCACAGUGUCGCAGUCGGUUCUUAAUCAAUUAAUUUAAAUAUAAAGAUGAGCCUGACGUCACAGUAAAGACCCGCGGUCCCAUCAGGUCAUGUUGCUCGAAUUCAUUCAGAUGGUUGUUGAGUUUUGUCCUUCCUCCUCUUCCGUACAGGUGAGUCUUUUACUCGCGGCUCUGUGAAGUGAAAUAAACCCGCGGAAAGCUGAUCAAUAAAUAUAAAUAUAUAUAAAUAUUUAUAUGUAUGAUAUAUUAGAUAAAUAUGGCGGAGUGAUCUAGAAAAAAAAAAAGCCCCAUGGUGACUGAGCUGAGCUCAGACACGUGUUCCACUCACAGGUCCGGGUGCAGCUCACAGUGACGUUCACGGACCUGCACGGGCCUUUAGGGGCCUUGAGGGGCGUUCAGGGACCUUCAGGUGGUUUAAUUUCAGCAUCAUUUCUCCUGAUGACACAAUAAAUAUUUCUCACACUUUAGAUUUAACUUGUAAAAUUCAACAAUAAUUCAGAAAUGAAAGAGUUUGAUCUGUAGUCUGAUUCAGGAUUGUUUCCAUGACGAAGAUUCAAAAUGGCCUCCAGUCAGUGUGUGAGUUCUCUGCAUCAGCUGAUCACUGGACACCUCUCCGGUGACAUCAUCAUCAUUAUAAAUGUAGCUCUCAUCAGAAACCCUGAAGUCAUGUUACUGAUUUCACUCCUGUUCAAACGGAGACUGAAUGUGACGUCCAGGUGUCUGAACCACAUGACGACCUUCAGUCUGUGUCUCUGUCCGUCCACAGGUCGCACUGACCGAGGCGAAGGACCCAGUGUGAAGGUGAAACAUCCAGAGUGAGUCCCACACGGUGAAACAAGCUGUUUGACUCCAGGUACUGCUUCUUACUUUAGCUGCUGGUGUUUCUCUGUUUUAAUAAAUAAACAUUCAUCUCCCUUAAAUAUUGUAUUUUCAUCGUCCGUCUAUAAAAUUAUUCUUUUACAUCUCAGCUCCUAAAUCAAAACCAGGUGAUUUUUCUUUUCCCGCCCACGUCUCUGUGUUUGUUUCUGUUUGUUUCAGCAAAUCUCUCAAAUACAACCAGCUGAUGAUUGAUAGAUAAAUAGAUAGAUAGAUAGAUAGAUUGAUAGAUAAAUAGAUAGAUAAACUUUAUUGAUCUGGGUAAAAGAUAAAAAAUAAUAACACAACAAAUAACAAAAUAAAAAUAUAGCUCAAUAUCCACAACAGAAAAAUAAAAACAACAAAUACCAAAAUAAAGGUUUAAUUGCACUUUAUUCUGAAGGUAAAAACAGAAUAUUAGCCGUGUGGUUUCAGGUAAACAGGUGAGUUUUAUGGUUACAGCUACAUUAGUAAGUAAUUUAGUGAAUAAGGACGUACGAUAGACAGAAGCAGUAAUUUACUGCAGGACGUUCCUGCUCAUUAGAAUGUGGAUGCUCAGUGUUAAUUCAGUGUUUUCCUCAGUGUUGUUGGUCUCAGCACAGAAACACAAUCACACAAUUAUAUGAAUCAGCAUCAACUGUCAGCAGCUGCUUUAAAUGCACCCCCCCCCAUCUAUAACCUAUUAAAUCCCAGUGUUUAUUAUAUCCUGUGUAACAUUCACCCUGCCCACCUUUAACAGUCAAAGCUAACAUGCUAACAUGGAGCUACCAUCUUUUAAUGCUGAAGUAAAUGGAGCCUGUAUGCUAAGCUGCUAGCAUUUUAGUGUCGCACUUCAAAUGUCCAACCUCUGACACUGUUGUUGUUGCUAACUGAGCUAAUGCUAAUGCUAAUGCUAAUGUUUGGUGAUGAGGAGAAUAUGUGACAGCCUCAGUUUGUUACAGGACACACGGACUUACUGCUGCUUUAACUUUGAAAUUCACCAUUUUACACUUUGUUCCUGAGAAAGAAAUCCACAUUUAGUUCCUGCUUGUGACAAACUGACAUGUUCUGCAUCAGUUUUCAGCUUCUUUUCCUUGUUAAAUACAAAACAUUCUGUUAAUUAUGACACAUCAGCGUCUCUGAUGAUCAUUUAUAAUUUGAAAAACUGUAAAAUGUUGACGAUAACAUGUUGGAAUCAAAUAAAAAAGUUUCAAGCGCAAACUGUAGUUUUUCUUUUCUACUUGUUGCUGAAUUAAUUUUACUGUAAAACUUUAAAUUAACACUUUUUUAACGGUGUAUUUUUUUAUGGUUUCAUUCUGUUCUACUGCAGAAUUUAUUUUGAAAUACACAGGAGAAGAAAUACACUGAUUUUAAUACAGACAUGUUUCAGCCAUUAAUACAUUAUUCAUUUAAUUAUUUGUGCAAACUCUGUCUUCAUGUUUCCAUUAAUUUAAAUUUUAUGACUUUUAGCUGAUGAACACACUGAUGAUAAACUAAAGCACACAGAGAAUAAUUCACUGCUAAAUUAAUUUAAUUAGAAUUCCUUCAGUUUAAUAUUUGCUUCCAUUUGAAGAGAGGAACAUUCAGGAGGUUUGAGCUGAUGAGUUUCUUUUCUGCCUCAGAACAAAGAGCCAAAGUCGCCCAUAAAACGUCCCUUUAACAGCGUUUAACUGCCUGUUAAAAAUCUGGUGCUAAUUACAGCGGCGCUGAGAGCUGAUGGUCACUGAACACAGAGAAGACACACUUUCAUUUCCUCCACUUUUAUUAUGUUUUUAUUUGCAUGAACGCAGGAAAAAAAAAAAAAGUAUUUUACAGAUUAAAUCUUACAGUUAACAACAAGCGUUUACUCCAGACUCAGGCCGUCAGUCAAACUACACUCAGGCAGAAGGGAUUGUGGGAUACAUCUUCUCUAAGGUGACUGUGUGAACAGUGCAUUUCGUUUUUCACCCAGUCAAACCAAAUCAAGACAUUUCUGAUUAUCAGAGUCUCUUUGCUACGAGAACAUUUAAAGAAAAUACUUUUUUAUUCUUUUUUAGAUCAACUACAACUAAAGGCAGGAAAAACAUUUUGGUCAAAAGUAGCUAAUGUAGAAAAUACAGCGUGAUCUCUAUUAUUUAUUACUGUGCUCAAUCUGCAUUUACUGUCUGGAAAAUAUCGAGAUGAUUUCAGAAACAUAUCUCAGCUGUAAACAUCUAAAUUACUUCAGCCACUUAGUAAUAGUGUCGUCUCAUUUACUGCGUCUGUUGUCAAAUGUGAUUACGUGGAAAUCAAAGGCAUGAAAGGACCAAAUUUAAUCAAAAACAUUUAGUCAGAGGCCACGAGAGAAACACACACACACACACACACACACACACACACACACACACACACACACACACACACAGGGAACAGGAGCCGCUACAUGUUGCUGACUGGAAUCAACAUUUCUCCCGUGUCUGUGUCUGCGCUCCCUUUCUUAUGGCUCAUUCAGACGACAGGCAACAACAGUUAAACUUCAAACACACACACAGAAGGAUGGAGGGGGGUGUGGUGGUGGUGGUGGGGGUGGGGGUGGGGGGUGUCAGGAAACAUCAGCUGUAGAGAGGAGAGCACGUCUGAGUCCACCGGUUUAUGACUGAACAUAACGAGGUAACGAGGGUCAGACUGAUACUGGUCUGUUAUUAAAAAUCUAAUAUUGAAAAUGCAGGACGUUGCUCUCGGUCCGCAGCGUCUCCUGAACACUUUGGGUUCGAUUCACUUGCUGUUAAUCUUGGAUACAAUAAAUUUGUGUGCAGGCGUUUUCAUCCUGACAGUUUCAAUUUUAUUUUUUUUUUGGAAUGAUUUUGGUUUUAAAACGGUCAAAUUUAAAAUCAGGGGAAUUCUUAUAUAAAAUAA